rnacentral:rRNA from 1 species
GACGAACGCUGGCGGCGUGCCUAAUACAUGCAAGUCGAACGCUUCUUUUCCCACCGGAGCUUGCUCCACCGGAAAAAGAAGAGUGGCGAACGGGUGAGUAACACGUGGGUAACCUGCCCAUCAGAAGGGGAUAACACUUGGAAACAGGUGCUAAUACCGUAUAACAAUCAAAACCGCAUGGUUUUGAUUUGAAAGGCGCUUUCGGGUGUCGCUGAUGGAUGGACCCGCGGUGCAUUAGCUAGUUGGUGAGGUAACGGCUCACCAAGGCCACGAUGCAUAGCCGACCUGAGAGGGUGAUCGGCCACAUUGGGACUGAGACACGGCCCAAACUCCUACGGGAGGCAGCAGUAGGGAAUCUUCGGCAAUGGACGAAAGUCUGACCGAGCAACGCCGCGUGAGUGAAGAAGGUUUUCGGAUCGUAAAACUCUGUUGUUAGAGAAGAACAAGGAUGAGAGUAACUGUUCAUCCCUUGACGGUAUCUAACCAGAAAGCCACGGCUAACUACGUGCCAGCAGCCGUGGUAAUACGUAGGUGGCAAGCGUUGUCCGGAUUUAUUGGGCGUAAAGCGAGCGCAGGCGGUUUCUUAAGUCUGAUGUGAAAGCCCCCGGCUCAACCGGGGAGGGUCAUUGGAAACUGGGAGACUUGAGUGCAGAAGAGGAGAGUGGAAUUCCAUGUGUAGCGGUGAAAUGCGUAGAUAUAUGGAGGAACACCAGUGGCGAAG